rnacentral:tRNA from 1 species
GCCGCCCUAGCUCAGGGGUAGAGCAACGGUUUCGUAAACCGUAGGUCCCGAGUUCAAUUCUCGGGGGCGGCU